rnacentral:lncRNA from 1 species
GUGGCUAUGGUUGGGGAUGGUGUUGGCCACCUCCGUGCAGUCGGAGGUCCCGCAAUCGACGGUCGGCGAUGACGACCGGCCGACAAAAAAAAAAAAAAACAUGACUUCGGCUCCUUAAGCCUUGAGAUUCAUGGUAUCUGAUGACUGGGGCUCCAGCCAUGGCUGCAAGCCAUUCCGAGGGACCAGAUGGAGACCUUGGUGACGAGCUCCGACAAUGAAGAUGGGCAAAAAGAAAGAAUAUGGCCUAAAAAAUCCAAAAAUAGGGGUCGGAUUUUUCAAAAAAAAUCGGCAAUAACUAGAACGAAAUCCAUGAUCUCAAGGUAGGAGAAGUGAGAUUAAAUAGAGGACUAAUCGGUCUUACCUUGGUUCCGGCGAUCUCAAGCCACAGCGGUGGCGAACGGCAUUCGGGCGAAGACAAGGGAAAAUGCUGGCAAGUCUUCAACUCAAGACUUUGAUCUUUGAUAGGGAGGUUGAGGGAAGCUUCAUCCCUUUAAAUAGAGUCGGGGAAAAGUGCCGAAGUCCCUCUCGGCGCUAGACUUCACCGGAAAAAUAGGGAAGAAGAUGACUCCCAAUUGGAGUCCGUUUCCUCCCUUCCUCCCAGCCCAUCAUCGGCCCCCC